UCCGAAUUCUAGAUAAACAACCUUAAAAACAUUCUGCUUUUGUAAUGCUACCCAGCUCAAUUUGCAUAAGUAGAGGACUCCUGUGUCAGCCGGCAAGGUUCAUGUACUUCAAUCCCCUCGUAUGAUUGCCAAGUUCUCAGAGGCAGAUGAUAAUGGCGAAAAACAUAUUAUACCGUGUAGAGCUAUAUUAGGUAAUGUUGAGAAAGUAGUAACAGGGUCUCAACAGUAUUAUCCUUCUGGUAUUGAGUUCUAUACCGGUGCUAAUGAUCCCAAGAAUCAUCCCAAGUGUUAUGUUGUUUGGUCGAGUGUUAUGAACAUGCAUAUUAUCCCUGAGUGUGUCGUGAGCUUCAAAUCUUCUAUUAACGUGCCAGGUAAAUUCUGGUUCCUCGUUUUCGUAAGUAUUUUUAUUGAUUGCUAUUUUUCUUUUUAAGAAGGUCAAGUGAAAGGAUCAACUUAUCCUCGAGAAGUUGUUUUCAAAUUUGAGGAGCUGGCUUCCUCCUGAAAAAUUUAGGGAAGUGGCCAAGCUAUAUGACGUGUAUGUAUAGGGGGAUGUUGUUCUGCUAUCUUCUAAAUGGGAGAUUCGUAGCUUGGAAUAAGGUUUUCUGGGUUUUUUUUUGGAUAGAUAAGUGCUACUUUCAGAAAGGCGUAUCAAAAUGAUAGAGCCACCAGCGAUGUCAUUUUACAGGAUUACCAUAGUUUUAGUGAUGAAAGAUUAUCAAGUGAAACUUCAAGAAUUACUUGAUAGUUUUUUUUUUUUUUUUUGAAAUAUAGAGCAGCAACUUUUUUUAGAUAAAUGGUAAAUAUGCUUGCAAUUUAUUUUGGAUUAUUUCAAUAUAUCACUGAUUUUUUUGGUGGUCUCUGACGAUUUCAAACCUGAUGAAUUGCGUAAGGCUGCUAUUAUGAUGUUGAAAAUGAGAUGCUGUAUUGUUAAUUGCAUACUAGUGUAUGCAAAGUAAGAUUCGGGAGAGGCAACAUCCAGUUUCUGUGAACAAGAAUAAUGUUUGUUCCAGAAUGCCUUGAUGAAUCUCUCUGUUCUAUAUUGCGUUACAAUUUCACUGAGGGCUUGGCGUGAGUUUGCAUCAAUUGCAUGCAUUAUCAUAUGCGGGUGUUGUUUUGACAUGGUGUUGGGCAAAAUUUGAUUAAUAAUUUCUAGUACAACUAUGAUGAACAUGAAUUUAAACAUGACCACCCUUGUUUAUAUUUAUUUGAGGAAUUAACUGUUGUGUGUUGUGGUAUCGUGUUUCCCUUCUAUGAGAUUUUAUAUCUCAGCAACGAUACUUUUACAGGCUUCUUAUAUCCAGUUGCCUGUUACCCUUCUACUGAAACUAGGAGAUUUGAAAUGAUUUCUGAUCCAUUUACCUGUGGUAGUCUGAGGAACUUUGGAAAACUUUGUUAGCAUGAAACAGUAGACUUCAAAGUAUUAUAUAUGCGGUUAUGUGACUGCAUGAUCUGUUUUUGAAUAAUCUAUAAAAUCUAUUUAACUGUACAUACAACUUCAACUCCAUGAUUUUGUUUUACAGGUUGCACUGCAUUUUAUAUCUUUUAUCCCUGUUUCUUUCUUCGUACACCCCAGUUAUUCAUUGUAACAUUGCAGGGUCUCAGUUGUGUACUAACGGAUAGAUUCCAUCUUCCGUUGUAUCUGUAUUCUGUAUUACCAAUUUUCAGUAGUUGCAUCGACUCUGCCUUGUAUUGGGCGAUUGCUGGUGUAGCUAGGUGUACUGGUGAUAAUUACUUGAAACGGCAAAGCUUGGUGGUGUUGUUUUACAGGUUGCACUGCAUUUUAUAUCUACCUAUGCAGCAUUUGCCUCUUUAUGUGAGAAGAAUGCUCCGGUUCUUUUUUAGAGCUCGUUUGAUAUUGUGAUAAUUGUUGUUUUUUAAAAUACUUUUCAUUAGGAAAUGUAUUAAAAUAAAAAAUUUUAAUUUUUUUCAAAAUUGGUUUUUAAUUUGCGUGCAGAUGCACUCCAUGAUAGGAAUAUACUUAGUAGAUGAUGAUACAAGCUUGUGCAGACGCUCUCUUACAGACUAAAAUAAAGGGAGCAUCCCCUCUCUGGUUUCCCCCUUGAUAUCUUCUGCAGAAAACUGGAUCUGCUCUUGCAUUUGUUUAUCUCAUUGAUUCAAAGAUAGGGAUAAUGAUGCUGGGUAGGAGGCGGCAUGAUAAGCGUGCAUCGAAAUAUUUUCAUUUUACUCUCCCAGGACUUGAUCCUCCUUCGUCAUUGCCAAUAAAGCUGUGCGGUGGGAAUUCAAGUUUGACUCAAUGCAUAUGCAUCACAGCAAUUCAUUUUGGCUGAUCCAAGAGCAGUUCUUGAUAUGCAGUGGCAUGAAGAAGUUUCCAAGGCGUUGCAGGGUUAAGAUGAGUCGUCAUGUCCGGUGAGACAUUAUUUUUGUUGCUGCCCUGUAGCUGAUUGAACUUGCAGGCAUGCAUCAUCUGGUGUUUAAGGGCUAGUGGAGUUAAUUGUCGGGGGUUUCACUGGCACGAAAUUGGAGCAAUGGAGUCCGAAAACACUCUUCCAAAGUCCUCUUGGGAAACUACUGCUCCUUUUUAUAAUUUUCGUGAAGUUUAUAUAUAUAUAUAUAUAUAUAUAUAUAUAUAUAUAUAUAUAUAUAUAUAUACAGCAUUUUUGCAGAAAGUUGAAACAUCUGGUUGGUUUACACAACAUACAAUAAUUAAGCACGGGAACUCUGCUCGAUCGUACAUGGCCCCGAUUCCACCUGCUCAUCACCAUAAACUGGAAGUUUCCAGGAAUGUUAGAACGAUAUACUGGAAAAAUAAGUUCAGCCGUGGUCCACUGGCAAACGACUAUUUAUUGACUAACAACACAGUGAAUUUCUUAAUCCAAUCUGAACUUGCUCAAGAGGGGCAUAAAAUAUAAAGAUCAUGCAGACCCCUUGGAAGAGACACUCACAUGUAGCUUGUUUAUCUUAAGCACAUGAGUUAUGGAUUCUCAAAUAUCAAAUGCAGUGAAAAUAAUAAAAUAAAAUUAUUUAAUAGUU